rnacentral:rRNA from 1 species
GAGUUUGAUCCUGGCUCAGGAUGAACGCUAGCGGCAGGCUUAACACAUGCAAGUCGAACGGUAACAUUGGUGCUUGCAUCAGAUGACGAGUGGCGAACGGGUGCGUAACGCGUAUGCAACUUACCUCUAAUUAAGGGAUAGCUCAGAGAAAUUUGAAUUAAUACCUUAUAAUAUCUGUAAAUCGCAUGAUUUUAAGAUUAAAGAACUUCGAUUAGAGAUGGGCAUGCGUGAUAUUAGCUAGUUGGUAGGGUAAUGGCUUACCAAGGCAACGAUAUCUAGGGGGUCUGAGAGGAUGAUCCCCCACACUGGUACUGAGACACGGACCAGACUCCUACGGGAGGCAGCAGUGAGGAAUAUUGGUCAAUGGACGCAAGUCUGAACCAGCCAUGCCGCGUGCAGGAUGAAUGCCCUAUGGGUUGUAAACUGCUUUUAUACAGGAAGAAAAAGGGGUACGUGUACCCUACUGACGGUACUGUAAGAAUAAGGACCGGCUAACUCCGUGCCAGCAGCCGCGGUAAUACGGAGGGUCCGAGCGUUAUCCGGAAUUAUUGGGUUUAAAGGGUCCGUAGGCGGGCGAUUAAGUCAGUGGUGAAAGUCUGCAGCUCAACUGUAGAAUUGCCUUUGAUACUGGUCGUCUUGAGUUAUGGUGAAGUUGCUGGAAUAUGUAGUGUAGCGGUGAAAUGCAUAGAUAUUACAUAGAACACCGAUUGCGAAGGCAGGUGACUAACUAUAUACUGACGCUGAUGGACGAAAGCGUGGGGAGCGAACAGGAUUAGAUACCCUGGUAGUCCACGCCGUAAACGAUGGAUACUAGCUGUCCGGAACCUUGAGAGCUCAGUGACUAAGCGAAAGUGAUAAAUAUCCCACCUGGGGAGUACGGUCGCAAGACUGAAACUCAAAGGAAUUGACGGGGGCCCGCACAAGCGGUGGAGCAUGUGGUUUAAUUCGAUGAUACGCGAGGAACCUUACCAGGGCUUAAAUGUAGUCUGACAGCUUUAGAGAUAGAGUUUUCUUCGGACAGAUUACAAGGUGCUGCAUGGUUGUCGUCAGCUCGUGCCGUGAGGUGUCAGGUUAAGUCCUAUAACGAGCGCAACCCCUGUCGUUAGUUGCCAGCAAGUAAAGUUGGGGACUCUAACGAGACUGCCUACACAAGUAGAGAGGAAGGUGGGGAUGACGUCAAGUCAUCACGGCCCUUACGUCCAGGGCUACACACGUGCUACAAUGGUGAGUACAGAUGGUUGCUACUUGGUGACAAGUUUGCUAAUCUAUAAAACUCAUCUCAGUUCGGAUUGAAGUCUGAAACUCGACUUCAUGAAGUUGGAAUCGCUAGUAAUCGCAUAUCAGCCAUGAUGCGGUGAAUACGUUCCCGGGCCUUGUACACACCGCCCGUCAAGCCAUGGAAGUUGGGAGUACCUAAAGUCGGAUACCAUUAAGGAUCCGCCUAGGGUAAAACUGAUAACUAGGGCUAAGUCGCAACAAGGUAACC